UGGGCUGUCGCCAAGCGGUAAGGCAACGGACUCUGACUCCGUCACUUCGAAGGUUCGAAUCCUUCCAGCCCAG
rnacentral:tRNA from 1 species